rnacentral:snRNA from 1 species
AGCUUUGCGCAGAGGCAGUGUCAUAGCCCGUGAGGUUCUACCGAGGCGUGACUAUUGCUAGUUGAAAACCUUAUAACUUCUAUUACAUUUUAAUUUACAAUGUGAUGCUUUGCAGAAUCAUUAGGUUUAUGAU